GUGUAGCAAAAUAUGUCAGCCUGGAUUUGCAAAGGUGGUUCCAGAAGGAAAGCCUGUUUGCUGCUAUGGUUGUGAUCCUUGUGCGGAAGGAACCAUGUCCAACCAAGAAGGUGGGUGAGAAGGAUUACAAGAGAGGGAACAUUCUGAUCUCACUACCAGAAGCAUUGCAUGGAAGCACAGAAAACUAUUUGCCUUAACAAGGUCAAGGUCAAGUGACAUGUCUUCAGAAUUAUGCAGAAAACAUAGAACGCAGUUGAUGUGGAGAAGUCUUUGCCUCUCAGUAGAUCCUAGAUCACCAUUUGUCAGGGCCUGGGCAGAGGAGGAAUGGUGGAGACUGCCUCCCCCUUCUGACCAGAGAAGACGAAGACAGUUCAGAAUUACAACAGGGGUUUGAGGGACCUCAGAGGCAGAUGAGGGGGAAAGCUGGGGAAUAAGGGGAGAGGUGGAGGGAGGGGAAGCACCAGGAGGGUGACGGCUGAUGGACACAAUGUUUUUAGAAAGCCUUCCUGAACCCAGCAAGCCUUGAAAGCCGGAGAGCAAAGAGCUCAAAGGCAGAGGGCAAACAUCAGCACCUGUAGAGCAGGAGAGAUGGGGGGGGUGGAGAUUCACUUGGGAUGACGCCAUUAUCCAAGAGGCUGGGUUCUAUAGCCUCUCUCUGUAUAUGCUGAAUAAAAAAUGGGUGGUACGAACAUCCCUUGUCUUUGUACAUUUCUGAGCAGAAGGAGUUGCUGGCAGCCGCCUGACACGAUGUUGCUGCAGUGAGCAUAAUGAGAAAACCCUUGGGCAUCACCUCGUUCGAGGAAAUGUAAGAUAUAAGGGUGCCCUUUGCAGAAAAGGAACAAAUAAUUUCUUGCCACUCUUUACCUCUUUACACCUUCUUAUUUCCGGAGGGCAGGUAGUCAUGGAUGUAAGGGAUGCUGAAGCCACUCUUUUCCUCUUCCUCAGAUGCAGAACGUUGCACCAAAUGCCCAGAAGAUCAGCAUCCAAACAAGGACAGAGAUCAAUGUGUCUCCAAGAUUAUCACCUUCCUGGCUUAUGAAGAACAUCUGGGGAUCACCUUAGCUUCCAUUGUCCUCUUCUUAUCUUCUACAGCAGGCAUUGUGUUAGGAAUCUUCAUUAAAUACAAAGAAACCCCAAUAGUCAAAGCCAACAACCGGGACCUCUCCUACAUCCUGCUCGUCUCCCUUCUGCUUUCCUGUUUAUCCUCCUUCCUCUUCAUUGGGCAACCAAGAAUAGCGACCUGCCUUCUCCGACAAACAGCCUUCAGC